rnacentral:misc_RNA from 1 species
GUGAAGAACGCAGCGAAAUGCGAUAAGUAAUGUGAAUUGCAGAAUUCAGUGAAUCAUCGAAUCUUUGAACGCACCUUGCGCUCUUUGGUAUUCCGAAGAGCAUGCCUGUUUGAGUGUCAUGAAAAUAUCAACCUUGACUUGGGUUUUGUGCUCUAGUCUCGGCUUGGAAUUGGGUGCUUGCCGCUUUUACGAGCGGCUCACCUUAAAUGUAUUAGCUGGAUCUGUCUUUGAGACUUGGUUUGACUUGGCGUAAUAAGUAUUUCGCUAAGGACAUUCUUCGGAGUGGCCUCGUUUCUAGGACGCUUGUCCGCUUUCCAAUACAAGUUCCACCUCGUGGACAUGACUUUUUAUUAUCUGGCCUCAAAUCAGGUAGGACUACCCGCUGAACUUAAGCAUAUCAAUAAGCGGAGGA